UUUCGUUCCUCUAGAAGACGCUGAGACUGAUUUGCGGGGGAAUGACUGGCAAGUACGGGCUCUCGGCUUUCAUUUUAAUUAUCGUUCUGGCUACCGCAAAUUCAACUGAAAACCCCUGCGCGGGUAUAGACGAAGCAUGCAUCAAUAAAGAAAAAUGGUGCCUUGUCGAUGCAAAAGGACAACCUACACUAAAUUG